CACAUAUCAGAGUGGUUGACAGGUUCCAACAAUAUGUUUUUCUUUGCCUCAGGCCUCAACAAUUGCAAAAGUUAGCCCUGUGAUGUAUUGUGGGCAAUUCCACAAUCAAACGCACAUCAGGAUGCUGAUGUUGUGUGUUUGUUUGUUACAUAGAAACAUAGAAUGUGAUGGCAAAUAAGAACCAUUUCGCCCAUCUAGUCUUC